AAGAGAAUCAAGGCCAUUGGCACAGUUUCAAACCUUCAUUAAGGUGAUGGCGCAAGAAAAACUAGGCCUUAGCAUAGUUUCAAACCUUCAUCAAGGUGAUGGUGCAAGGAAAACGAGGCCUUAGCACAGUUUUGGGUGGAUGCAUUAUUUCUGUCUGUAAUGGCGUCUCCAAGACCCAUUGCAUCCAACACCCAUAUCAUAUAGUUCUUGCCCGAAAUUUCAAGGGCAACGAAUUUUCUUUUCAUAAUGUCAGACAUAAAACAAAAUUACAUCAAGAGC
rnacentral:lncRNA from 1 species